GUAUCAUGGCUCAGGAUGAACGCUAGCUACAGGCUUAACACAUGCAAGUCGAGGGGCAGCAUGGUCUUAGCUUGCUAAGGCCGAUGGCGACCGGCGCACGGGUGAGUAACACGUAUCCAACCUGCCGUCUACUCUUGGACAGCCUUCUGAAAGGAAGAUUAAUACAAGAUGGCAUCAUGAGUCCGCAUGUUCACAUGAUUAAAGGUAUCCCGGUAGACGAUGGGGA
rnacentral:rRNA from 1 species